GAAAUGCGAUAAGUAGUGUGAAUUGCAGACUUUAGUGAAUCAUCGAAUCUUUGAACGCACAUUGCGCCCCUUGGUAUUCCAUUGGGCAUGCCUGUUCGAGCGUCAUUUAACCCCUCAAGCACUGCUUGGUGUUGGGCGUUUGUCUGCGUAACUAACGCGGACUCGCCCCAAAAUAAUUGGCAGCGGCUUGCCGGCCUCUUGCGCAGCACUUUGCGCUCCUUGAGGAUCCGUCGGGCUUGCGUCCAUCAAGAUCACCCCCAUUUUGACCUCGAAUCAGGUAGGGAUACCCGCUGAACUUAA
rnacentral:misc_RNA from 1 species